GACGAACCGUGCGAACGUUAUUCGGAAUCACUGGGCUUAAAGCGCGUGUAGGCGGGAUGGCACGUCGGUCGCUGAAAGCCCCCGGCUCAACCGGGGAAGGGGCGCGGAUACGACCGGCCUGGAGGGGGGUAGGGGGACCUGGAACUUCCGGUGGAGCGGUGAAAUGCGUUGAGAUCGGAAGGAACGCCCGUGGCGAAAAGCGAGGUCCUGGACCCUUUCUGACGCUGAGACGCGAAAGCCAGGGGAGCGAACGGG
rnacentral:rRNA from 1 species